CCCCCUCCUACUGUACGGGUUGUUGCUGCUUGGAGAGCGGCUCAGGACUUGGAUUCUGUUUCUGCACCUGUGACAGCGAUACUCCAAUUCCUCACUUCAUUAUUCGAGGCUGGUCGGGCGUAUUGCCUGUAACCUGUAUAGAUCAGCCAUCUCUUCAGCUCACCAGGGUUUCGACGGCUGUCCUGCGGGCCAACACCCCUUGGUGUGCCGCUUAUUUCGGGGUUCACGUCUGUCGCAUCCCCCCAGACCUCGAUAUUCGGCUACAUGG